rnacentral:rRNA from 1 species
UACGAAGGGGGCUAGCGUUGCUCGGAUCACUGGGCGUAAAGGGUGCGUAGGCGGGUCUUUAAGUCAGGGGUGAAAUCCUGGAGCUCAACUCCAGAACUGCCUUUGAUACUGAAGAUCUUGAGUUCGGGAGAGGUGAGUGGAACUGCGAGUGUAGAGGUGAAAUUCGUAGAUAUUCGCAAGAACACCAGUGGCGAAGGCGGCUCACUGGCCCGAUACUGACGCUGAGGCACGAAAGCGUGGGGAGCAAACAGG